CCUACGGGUGGCAGCAGUGAGGAAUAUUGGUCAAUGGACGAGAGUCUGAACCAGCCAAGUAGCGUGAAGGAUGACUGCCCUAUGGGUUGUAAACUUCUUUUAUAUGGGAAUAAAAUGUUCCACGGUUGGGAUGUUGUAUGUACCAUAUGAAUAAGGAUCGGCUAACUCCGUGCCAGCAGCCGCGGUAAUACGGAGGAUCCGAGCUUUAACCGGAUUUAUUGGGUUUAAAGGGAGCGUAGGUGGAUUGUUAAGUCAGUUGUGAAAGGUGGCGGCUCAACCGUAAAAUUGCCGUUGAAACUGGCAGUCUUGAGUACAGUAGAGGUGGGCGGAAUUCGUGGUGUAGCGGUGAAAUGCUUAGAUAUCACGAAGAACUCCGAUUGCGAAGGCAGCUUACUGGCCUGCAACUGACACUGAGGCUCGAAAGUGUGGGUAUCAAACAGGAUUAGAUACCCGGGUAGUC
rnacentral:rRNA from 1 species